rnacentral:ncRNA from 1 species
GGAAAUGCAGUGAAGAAGGAAAGUAAUGUAAACAAGAUAUUCAGAGAGGAAAUCAUAGGCUGUAAGAUUUCUAUAUGGAGUUUAUAUGAAGUGCCCUUCGGAGUUUUGCACCGAAAUUACAGUAGGCUGCAACGGGAUUACCCGUUAUAGUAAUAAAGCAUUUAUUAAUAAGUGCUUGAAUGAGGUGGGAUUUUAUCCAAUUAGAGUGGAACCGCAGAAGAUAGCUUUGUCUCUAGA